rnacentral:rRNA from 1 species
CAGCCGCCGCGGUAAAACAGAGGGUGCGAGCGUUAAUCGGAUUUACUGGGCGUAAAGCGUGCGUAGGCGGCUAAUUGAGUCGGAUGUGAAAUCCCCGAGCUUAACUUGGGAAUUGCAUUCGAUACUGGUUAGCUAGAGUGUGGGAGAGGAUGGUAGAAUUCCAGGUGUAGCGGUGAAAUGCGUAGAGAUCUGGAGGAAUACCGAUGGCGAAGGCAGCCAUCUGGCCUAACACUGACGCUGAGGUACGAAAGCAUGGGGAGCAAACAGGAUUAGAUACCCGCGUAGUCCCUGUCUCUAUACA